AUGAACGACUGGCGGCGUGCCUAAUACAUGCAAGUCGAACGAAACUUCUUUAUCACCGAGUGCUUGCACUCACCGAUAAAGAGUUGAGUGGCGAACGGGUGAGUAACACGUGGGCAACCUGCCCAAAAGAGGGGGAUAACAACUUGGAAACAGGUGCUAAUACCGCAUAACCAUAGUUACCGCAUGGUAACUAUGUAAAAGGUGGCUAUGCUACCGCUUUUGGAUGGGCCCGCGGCGCAUUAGCUAGUUGGUGGGGUAAAGGCUUACCAAGGCAAUGAUGCGUAGCCGAACUGAGAGGUUGAUCGGCCACAUUGGGACUGAGACACGGCCCAAACUCCUACGGGAGGCAGCAGUAGGGAAUCUUCCACAAUGGGCGAAAGCCUGAUGGAGCAACGCCGCGUGGGUGAAGAAGGUCUUCGGAUCGUAAAACCCUGUUGUUAGAGAAGAAAGUGCGUGAGAGUAACUGUUCACGUUUCGACGGUAUCUAACCAGAAAGCCACGGCUAACUACGU
rnacentral:rRNA from 1 species